CAAGACCGGUGCCAGCCGCCGCGGUAAUACCGGCAGCUCAAGUGGUAGCCGCGAUUAUUGGGCCUAAAACGUUCGUAGCCGGAUAAGUAAGUCUUUGGUUAAAUCCUGCGACUCAACCGUGGGAAUUCUAGAGAGUACUGCUCGUCUUGAGACCGGGAGAGGUUGGAGGUACUCCUAGGGUAGGGGUGAAAUCCUGUAAUCCUAGGGGGACCACCUGUGGCGAAGGCGUCCAACUGGAACGGGUCUGACGGUGAGGGACGAAACCUAGGGGAGCGAGCCGGAUUAGAUACCCGGGUAGUCCUAGGCGUAAAUGAUGCGAGUUAAGUGUGGGGGCAUCUACGAGAUGGCCCUGUGCUGUAGGGUAGCCGUUAAACUCGCUGCCUGGGGAGUACGGUCGCAAGGCUGAAACUUAAAGGAAUUGGCGGGGGAGCACCACAAGAGGUGGAGGCUGCGGUUCAAUUGGACUCAACGCCGGAAAACUCACCGGAUUAAGACAGCUGAAUGAUAGCCGGGCUGAAGACUCUGCUUGACUAGCUGAGAAGUGG
rnacentral:rRNA from 1 species